UUGAAUUUUUGUACGUGGGAAGGUUCCAACGCCCACAGAUUAGCCAUGGGCAUGGUGUUACUGAAACAAGCAGGACUGUGCGGUGAAGUAUCGAAGAGGGAGAGACUGCUGCGUAAGCAUCCACAAUGCCAUCAUCUAAUCUGAAGAAGCUCAAAAGAAGAUGGAGGAGGUCAGCGAACGGACUGCUGAACUGUUUCAUGUUCUGCUGCCAAAGGACUGUUCGGAGGCAUGGAAUCCAAAUUCCUGGUUGGUAUCCAUGCUGAGAUUGUGGAGACUCAUGGGAUGGGAGAAAUGGUUGGCACAGAAGGCAAUAGCAGUGUUGGUUGGGUUUACGGUUUUUAUGAAAAGCAUUUUCAUAGUCCUGUGUGUGAUUGAUUACAUGCUCGCUCUCUUCACUUCCUUUCUUUCCUCUUCCUCUGUUCAUUAAGUAUAGAUCACCACACUAGAAGAAGGCGAACUGUACAGGAACGAGAUUCAAUUGAUUGUUUGAGCCAUGGGUAGUGUAAGAGACUGAGAAGCAAGAGGGUUAAUGUCCCACAUGCUUCCUAGAAGAGUGAAAUGAGGUCACCACAGUAAGGAGAUAAGGAGUAGAUCGAGGAGGCGCCUACUGAAAUGAGGUAGCAUCACUGCAGAGGAUAUCAUCUUGCGAGACUAUGAAG
rnacentral:lncRNA from 1 species